rfam:Triticum aestivum genome assembly, contig: Triticum_aestivum_CS42_TGACv1_scaffold_487723_6AS
CGUCUAUUCCCUCCAUUCCGAAUUAUCUGUCGCAGGUAUGGAUGUAUUUAGAUAUAUGUUAGUUCUAGAUACAUCCAUUUCUGCGACGAGUAAUUUGGAACGGGGGGAGUAGUUG